GAUGAACGCUGGCGGCGUGCCUAAUACAUGCAAGUCGAGCGAACAGACGAGGAGCUUGCUCCUCUGACGUUAGCGGCGGACGGGUGAGUAACACGUGGAUAACCUACCUAUAAGACUGGGAUAACUUCGGGAAACCGGAGCUAAUACCGGAUAAUAUAUUGAACCGCAGGGUUCAAUAGUGAAUGACGGUUUUGCUGUCACUUUUAGAUGGAUCCGCGCCGCAUUAGCUAGUUGGUAAGGUAACGGCUUACCAAGGCAACGAUGCGUAGCCGACCUGAGAGGGUGAUCGGCCACACUGGAACUGAGACACGGUCCAGACUCCUACGGGAGGCAGCAGUAGGGAAUCUUCCGCAAUGGGCGAAAGCCUGACGGAGCAACGCCGCGUGAGUGAUGAAGGUCUUCGGAUCGUAAAACUCUGUUAUUAGGGAAGAACAAAUGUGUAAGUAACUAUGCACGUCUUGACGGUACCUAAUCAGAAAGCCACGGCUAACUACGUG
rnacentral:rRNA from 1 species